rnacentral:rRNA from 1 species
AAAGAAAAUAACAAUGAUUCCCUUAGUAACGGCGAGUGAAGGGGGAAAAGCUCAAAUUUUAAAUCUGACUGGUUAUACUUAUCAGAGUUGUAAUUUGAAGAAGCGUUUUCCGCGUCUCGGUUGGCCCAAGUCCUUUGGGAUAAGGCAUCAUGGAGGGUGAGAAUCCCGUUCGGUUGACCUUAUGACGUUUUACGAUACGCUUUCAAAGAGUCGAGUUGUUUGGGAUUGCAGCUCAAAAUGGGAGGUAAAUUUCUCCUAAGGCUAAAUAUUGGCGAGAGACCGAUAGCGAACAAGUACCGUGAGGGAAAGAUGAAAAGAACUUUGAAAAGAGAGUAAAAUAGUACGUGAAAUUGUUGAAAGGGAAACGAUUGAAGUCAGUCGUACCGACGAGAAAUCAGCUCUUCGAGUGUUAACCUGUGGGCGUGCGUGAGUCUUUAACGGGCCUCGCUGUUUGCAUGUUUGUGCUUUUUGGGUGUACUUUUUCGUAUGGUUGGCCAACGUCAGUUUCGUUCACCAUAAAAUGAUCAGGGGAAUGUAGCUUCGAUCUCGUAUUGAAGUGUUAUAGACUUUGGUAGAUGUGGUGAUCGAGACUGAGGAUUGCAACGAAUACCCUUCGGGCUAUCCGUCUGGCCUCUGAAAGUUGCCUAGGUGCCGAAAGCUUGCUUACGGUCGUCUAAGGUAGCGGUCAAAAGGUUAGAACGUGAUUACAUU